CCCCUAGCCGUUCUGGGCUGCACGCGCGCUACAAUAAUACGCACAGCGAGUAUCACCGAGCUCGAAAGGGCAAGGUAAACAAUAGAAAAGGUACUGUAAUGGUUAUAGAUCCUUGUAAUUAUUGAUCUUCAACGAGGAAUUCCUAGUAAGUAUGUGUCAUCAUCACGCACUGAUUACGUCCCUGCCCUUUGUACACACCGCCCGUCGCUCCUACCGAUUGGGUGAGCCGAUGAAACUCUCGGAUGUAGGCUAUUCAUAGCCCGCAGAAGAGAUUUGAAUCGUAGCGCUUAGAGGAAGGAGAAGUCGUAACA
rnacentral:rRNA from 1 species